rnacentral:rRNA from 1 species
GACGAACGCUGGCGGCGUGCUUAACACAUGCAAGUCGAACGGUAAGGCCCUUCGGGGUACACGAGUGGCGAACGGGUGAGUAACACGUGGGUGAUCUGCCCUGCACUUCGGGAUAAGCCUGGGAAACUGGGUCUAAUACCGGAUAGGACCACUGCCUGCAUGGGUGGUGGUGGAAAGCUUUUGCGGUGUGGGAUGGGCCCGCGGCCUAUCAGCUUGUUGGUGGGGUGAUGGCCUACCAAGGCGACGACGGGUAGCCGGCCUGGGAGGGUGACCGACCACACUGGAACUGAGAUACGGCCCAGACUCCUACGGGAGGCAGCAGUGGGGAAUAUUGCACAAUGGGCGCAAGCCUGAUGCAGCGACGCCGCGUGAGGGAUGACGGUCUUCGGGUUGUAAACCUCUUUCAGCUCCGACGAAGCGCAAGUGACGGUAGGUGCAGAAGAAGGACCGGCCAACUACGUGCCAGCCGCCGCCGUAA